UCUAAUAUGGCAGAAUAGUGCGGUGGACUUAAACCCCAUAUAUAAAGUACAACUUUUUUUAGAA
rnacentral:tRNA from 1 species